rnacentral:rRNA from 1 species
AUUGAACGCUGGCGGCAUGCCUUACACAUGCAAGUCGAACGGUAACAGGUCUUCGGAUGCUGACGAGUGGCGAACGGGUGAGUAGUACAUCGGAACGUGCCCGAUCGUGGGGGAUAACUACUCGAAAGAGUAGCUAAUACCGCAUACGAUCUACGGAUGAAAGCGGGGGAUCUUCGGACCUCGUGCGGACGGAGCGGCCGAUGGCAGAUUAGGUAGUUGGUGGGAUAAAAGCUUACCAAGCCGACGAUCUGUAGCUGGGCUGAGAGGACGACCAGCCACACUGGGACUGAGACACGGCCCAGACUCCUACGGGAGGCAGCAGUGGGGAAUUUUGGACAAUGGGCGAAAGCCUGAUCCAGCAAUGCCGCGUGCAGGAUGAAGGCCUUCGGGUUGUAAACUGCUUUUGUACGGAACGAAAAGACUCCUUCUAAUACAGGGGGUCCAUGACGGUACCGUAAGAAUAAGCACCGGCUAACUACGUGCCAGCCGCCGCGGUAA